rnacentral:lncRNA from 1 species
ACUCAACCUUGUCUUCUGUCUGGAGCUCUUGAGACCCAAGGAUACUGGCCAGGCGAACCACACUGCGAUAAGAAACAGCAGCUGAAAGUUUGUUUUUGGAGCCACCAGAUCCAGUGGGUGGACUGUGUCUUGAAAUAGAAGCAUCUCAAAGGCCUGUGAAUCAUUUCUUAGUGCCGGCCUGCAAGGUUUCAUAUCCUGUUCUCAGAGCUACCUUGGGUGCUGUAUGUAUAUCUGGAAGAAUUUUUCAAAUGGUUUUUGCGAGAAAGUUCAAACCCUGGAAUGACUAAGUCGCUGGAAGAAUUUGGACUUUGUGAGGGGAAUUUGCACUUGGUAUGAAUCACCCAGUCACUGAUUCCUGCAGUGAGAAGACCUUUCGGAAAGCUUCUGGGUCAGCCCCCUCGUACACAUGGGGAAACCGAGGCUCAAGGAGGGGAAGGACUUCAGCCAAGGUCCCACAGCAUGUCUGUGGAAAUGACAGGACUGGAAUCAGGUCUAGCUCCUGGAACAGCUUUGGAUUUGCAAGAAGCUCUCAAGCACCCAGUCUCCAUAGGUGGGCACAUUUUCCAAACAGUAGAGGAACAGAAAGAACAAGAGGGUUCUGAGGAGUUAGAACUCACCAUAGAGUUAUGGAAGGAAUGGGGAAGGGAUUGCCGGAAGGUAUUUUAUAUGAAAUAGCUCAUUUAAUCCUCCCCAGGAUCCUAUUAGGCAGUGGUUCUAAACUAGGGUUGAUUUUGCCCCCAGAGGACAUUUGGCAAGAUCAGGGGACAUUUUAGGUUUGUCACAGCUUGAGUGGGAGUUGCUACUGGCAUCUCUUGGCAGUGAAUACCCUAUGUGGUAGAGGCCAGGGAUACCGCUAAACAUCCUGCAAUGCACAGGACAGCCUCACAACAAAGAAUUAUCCAGCCCAAAAUGUCAAUAGUGUUGGGUCUGAGAAGCCCUGCUAUGCAGAGGGCGCUUGUAUAUACAUAUCAAUUUAACAGCCAAGAAAGCCGAGGCUCAGAAAGUGUAGCCACUCGCUAGCCACGUGGUCUUGGGCAAAUUAGCCUCUCUGUGUCUCAGUUUCCUUAUCUGUAAAAUGGAGGCAACAGUACCUCUGUUACCUAAAUAAACAUUUGUAAAGCACUUAGAAUGGUGCCUGGCACAUAGUGUUACAUGAAUGUUUGCUAAAAAUAUAUAAACAAGCUUACCCAGGAAACACGGAAAGUAAAAGAAUUGUAAUGAAAGCCCAGGUGAAAAAAAUCUAAAGAGACUUAAGGACAUGGGGGCUGGAAUAUGAGAGACCUCCUGGGGGUGUACAGCCCUGUGAGCAGGUAAGGCUGUCCACCGUGUGACAUCCUAUGUUCCCUGCCACCCCCCACCACCAGUAGCCAUGAGGUUUUCCUUCUCAGACACUGCUACCUUAAAUGCACUUCAUCUUUUUAGGUUAAAAUGAUAUGCACUUCAACAUGAAUCUCCUUGGCAAGUAUCUGACACAGUAAGCCACUAUCAGUCACUAAGAAUAAUUCAGGAUAAAUUAGUUUUUCAGUUGCCUCCCAACAAAUAGGCCGAAUGCAGGUUAUACUGAGAGUGGAAGGUAAACAGAGGCUGACAGCUUAGUGUUCAGAGGCAGGCUUAGGACAGUGCUGGCAGGUGCACAGUUGUCCUCAGCAAUCCUAGACCAUCAGUCAUUCCCCUACCAGCCAGCACCACCUAGAACAGGCCUCAAGUCUGGGCCCUGCCUAGCUUUGCACCCCCUUUCAGAACCUGCUCCUGACCCUCCCCCACCUUCAGCUCUCCUGGUCUUUUUACUCAGUCUGGGGCCUAUUCCCUACUUUCCCACUUUGACCUCUAAUCCUGUCCUCAGUCAGAGCCCAGAUUCCUCCACCAGCUGCUGAGACCUGCCAACUUGCUAAGUGAUUGCCCUACUCAAUGCUGAAGGCCUGACAUAUCAGCCCGGCUCUCUCAGCAAGCCCCAGGGCUGUGAAGGAAACUGGGCAGAGGGUGUCACAAGAGUGGAGGGAGAAAAAACCAAAGCAAGGGUCACCCAUAUCUCUACUCUGCCCAGAACCCGCCUGCUACGCCUAUUCAUUAGAACAUUCAUGGCCAUUUACCGAGCUCUUUAAGCUAUGAGUCUUGCACACUUACAACAGCUCUCACAGCUGUGCCCCACUCCCCCAUCCCUGGAGACCUACAAGGGCCCAUAUUAACUGUAUUACUUCUCUAUUGCUGCUAUAACAAAAUGACUACAAACUUAGUCACUUAAAACAACUUAAGUUUAUGCUCUCAAACCAACCUGAUCUCACUGGGCUAAAAUCAGGGUGUUUGCAGGGACUUCCCUUUCGGAGAAUCUGGAAGAUAAUUGAUUUCCUUGCCUUUUCCAGCUUCUGGAGGCUGCCAACAUUCCUUGGGUUGUGACCCCUUCCUUCAUUUUCAAAGCCAGCAACAUGGCAUCUCUCUGACCCUGUUUUCGUGGUUGCCUCUCUUUCUCUGACUCUUUUCUGCUGCCCUCUCCCACUUUUAAGGACCCUUCUGAUUCCAUUGGACCCACCUAGAUAAUCCUGCAUAGCAACCUUCAUUCCAUCUGCAAACUUAAUUCCCACUUGCCGUGUAACAGUACAUUCACAAAUUAUAGGGAUUAGGACACAGACAUCUUUGGAGGUGACUAUGAUCCUGCCUACCAUGUUAACCAACCCAGAGUGGCGGGGACCAUACAACCCAGAGAGCUUGUGCUCCUUCUCAAGGGAGCAACUGCUGCUCAGCUCCAGCUGUCAUCAUCAUGCAUCAGUAUGGGUUCAGUGUGGCUGAGUCUGCCAAUAUUUCAAGUGAAAUCAGAAAAUUGGACUUUCAGGUGAAGAUUUCCAAUUCUGACAUCACUGUGCAGACCAAAAAAGAACAAAAAAUCUCAUAGGCUAGAUAUAGCCUGAAGCCACCCAGGUGUGACCUCUGGGUCCACCUCUACCACAUCAGCUGUGUGAGAUGAUGAGAUUUCUCUGGCAUUUACAGGCUCUGCAGGUUCUGGGGGAUGGAGAACCAGUCAGGCCUAGAGGCCAGAGAGAAUGUGGUCAGGAGCAUAGCGGGUACUGAAGGGGGUGCCUCAGGGGAAAGUUCAGAGGGAGAAGGGACUGACCAUCUCCCUAAGGGACUAACCAUCACCUGCAGGAAGCAGCAGUGCCUCAAAGGGUACAGGAAAUCAGGCUGAGGCCGACCUGAAGAAAUCAACCAGAGUAAGGUGGGCUUUAUGGCUUGUGACCUCAGAACAAAUCAAGCACACUCUUUCUACUUUCAAAAAGUAUCAGUUCUUCCCCUCCCCACAAAAC